UUGUGAUAUGUAGAAUACUCUUUAACUUUGGUUUUAUAUUUUUCAACACUCUCUGAUAUCAUUAACAAUACUCUCCUUCUGCUCCCUUUCUUUUCUUCUUUGUCAUCGACAAAGCAACUGCAACUGCAAUGACAACAACAACAAAAACAAUACCUUUAGGGACCAUUCAUCUGAUUUCUCUAUUAACUUCCUGAAAGCAAAAAGAUAUAAAGAGAAGAAGACAUGCACUUAGCUACAUAACAAAGAGACUGAAGAGUACAUGAAACACAACAUCAAAGAUUAGCCUUGUCGCCAUUGUCGGUGAACGGACAGUUCCUCUAGAUACCUGCGUUGGGUAAAUAAGCAAAUAAGCAGGAGUCUGUGAUACUUUACUUGGCUAUCCUGAUGGCGUUUUUGGUUGUUGCAGUUUUGGGCAGACUAAUGAGGUUGGCCCUUUAUACAGUUUAGACUGGCAGCUGUUGCAACUUGCAAGCCAUAUAACACCAUCAUCAUUUGUACCAAUGCAAAUUCAAAAUAUGCAAUAUGUUUUCUUAAAUUGCAAGUAUAAGCUUAGUUUGCAAGUGCUCAUAUUUCUUUCUAUAUAACAAAGUUUUAGUACCUGAGACAUUUCCUUCACACAGUCAUGCCAAGAUAUCGCCAGUAAAAGUCUCCACCUUGGUCACCUCUGUUGAACUGAUUAAUGCACCAUUGCUUUGGUUCUCUGCUAACCUAAAACAUGAUACGUAGUUAGCUAAAAGUUGUAUCAUUGAAUUAUGGGUAUUGAAGAAAGGGUAGAUAAUUUACCAUAGGAUGCACUUGAUAAUUUAUAAAAGGUCCUCUGCAUAUGACAAAUCGUUGCUAGGAUUAAACUUGAAUGCACAAUCCACACAGUCAAUGAUAAGGUUCAUUAAAAGGGGAAAUAUAAUUUUCUUACUCUUUAAGCUUAAAGGUCUGAAGUAUAGGGAAAUGUUGGCCAUCAAUUAGCCUGAGAUGGCCGGAUACAUCUGCAGAACCAAUAACUAUCAUUUCAGAGACUGAGGUGAGGUUGCUCUAUCUUGGAAAUGCGAUACAAUAUCCUGAUUCUAUAGUUCGGAUCAUUAAAGAUACAACUUACCGUACAGAUCGCCUUCACGUCACAGUUUCCUUUGAGGGCUUAAACCUGAAUCGCUUCGAAUCAAUGGAAAAGCAGUUCCAUUCAAUCUAGGACAGCACCGAGUUGUGAGCAAUGCUGAUAAGGGGUUGUUUUCAUUGAUAAUGAAACCUUGUACGAUAGUGCCCUGUCCAUGUGUGUCAGGUAGAAGAUGUCGACGAACGGAAAAGGAAAAAGCCAGAUUAGAAAGAAGAGGCGUACCUGUUCAUCGCCAUAGCUUCAGGCUCUUCAAAGUAGGCUUUCGGGGUUGCUUGGAAGUAAGUUUAGACGAAAUUACGAAACUUUUUAGCCAUUUAUUCAUGAGGAGAAAGAAAGGGAGGUGAAAAGAAUCCAUAAAGAGAGAAGUAAAGAACACAAAUGAUUGAUAGGAUGGAUAGCUGUAACGGAGAAGACGAAGUAGAUGGGAUGCGACAGAGA
rnacentral:lncRNA from 1 species